GCCCUGCUGGCGCAAUCGGUAGCGCGCAAGACUUCUACGUAAAUUGGAGUUAAUCUUGAGGUUGCAAGUUCGAGCCUUGCGUAGGGUG